rnacentral:lncRNA from 1 species
UGGAUUGGAUGUUGGAUUUGCCGUAUAUCUUGGACUUGGAUCGGUACAUUGAAAUUCUCAACGAUUCAUGUUGAACUCGCACAUUGGUAAUCAAAAUGUAAAAACUUAUGACUUUAUUUUCAUAUGCAUAUAACUUAAGAGCAACUUUGAAGUUAUUAUUAUUAGUUUUAAAAAAAAAAAGAAGUUUUAACAGCACUUCUUUAAAAGCAUAUCAAAGUUCUAAUAAACAAAUAUAUAUAUUCCAGAGGACAUUUAUCAUAUUUUUGGAUAUCAUAUUGAGGUAAAUUAGUGAGAAAACUCAUCUCGUAGUUUCGUUCUUAAAUUUCCUUUUUCCUCUAUAAGUACCGUAUGAUUUCUAAAACUUUCACUAAUCUUUA